rnacentral:rRNA from 1 species
GUCGGUCGGACUGUGGCCACCUCCCACCCUUGUCUCUAUACACCUGUUGCUUUGGCGGGCCCACCGGGGCCACCUGGUCGCCGGGGGACAUCUGUCCCCGGGCCCGCGCCCGCCGAAGCGCUCUGUGAACCCUGAUGAAGAUGGGCUGUCUGAGUACUAUGAAAAUUGUCAAAACUUUCAACAAUGGAUCUCUUGGUUCCGGCAUCGAUGAAGAACGCAGCGAAAUGCGAUAAGUAAUGUGAAUUGCAGAAUUCCGUGAAUCAUCGAAUCUUUGAACGCACAUUGCGCCCCCUGGCAUUCCGGGGGGCAUGCCUGUCCGAGCGUCAUUUCUGCCCUCAAGCACGGCUUGUGUGUUGGGUGCGGUCCCCCCGGGGACCUGCCCGAAAGGCAGCGGCGACGUCCGUCUGGUCCUCGAGCGUAUGGGGCUUUGUCACUCGCUCGGGAAGGACUGGCGGGGGUUGGUCACCACCAAAAUUUUACCACGGUUGACCUCGGAUCAGGUAGGAGUUACCCGCUGAACUUAAGCAUAUCAAUAAGGCGGAGAAUCUU